GAUGAACGCUGGCGGCGUGCCUAAUACAUGCAAGUCGAGCGAACGGACGAGAAGCUUGCUUCUCUGAUGUUAGCGGCGGACGGGUGAGUAACACGUGGAUAACCUACCUAUAAGACUGGGAUAACUUCGGGAAACCGUAGCUAAUACCGGAUAAUAUUUUGAACCGCAUGGUUCAAAAGUGAAAGACGGUCUUGCUGUCACUUAUAGAUGGAUCCGCGCUGCAUUAGCUAGUUGGUAAGGUAACGGCUUACCAAGGCAACGAUGCAUAGCCGACCUGAGAGGGUGAUCGGCCACACUGGAACUGAGACACGGUCCAGACUCCUACGGGAGGCAGCAGUAGGGAAUCUUCCGCAAUGGGCGAAAGCCUGACGGAGCAACGCCGCGUGAGUGAUGAAGGUCUUCGGAUCGUAAAACUCUGUUAUUAGGGAAGAACAUAUGUGUAAGUAACCGUGCACAUCUUGACGGUACCUAAUCAGAAAGCCACGGCUAACUACGUG
rnacentral:rRNA from 1 species